AGGCCCAUGGUCCUGUUGGUUGAAGAGAAGAAGUCCCAAACCUAGAAGGGAGAGAGAUCACCUUCAAGAAUAGGCAGACCCCUGGAUCAGGCCAAGUCAUUCAACUGCAGAUUUUCCCAGCAUGCCCCAUCUGGCUGCUACCUAGCAUCUCUGCUUAGAUCCUCCACAUGCUCGUGCAUCUUCAGAAUCCUGAGAAAAUCAGAGAUAAAGCAAGAGUUAAACCUCAGAGGACAUGCCUACUACCAUGAAUUUCUGCCAGAAACCUCAGAGCCUGGUAGCAGAGGAGAUGGCUUAGACUUGAGAGGACCCGGACUCCUAGUUGGCUUUUGGGGACUCUGAUCUGGACAUAACCGGCCCCAUUGGACUCCUCCUUUCCUCCUGCACCCAGUCUGAUCUGAUUGGUUUCUGAAGUCAGCAGAGAGGCGAGGACGCUGUGAAAAGCAGCUCAAAGCCAUGCUACCCUUGUGAAGCUGGUAGUUGUCUUCUGGGGGUGUUCGGCCUCUGGCCUUCUAACCUCAUCCCUCCAGCCCCUCCGGGAAUACCAGACGUGAGCUGAUCAUUUUCCCUAAGGAGCAACUCGAUAUGCUUCUUGUCCAUAAUGGGGCUAAAGACUGCUAACUUUGCUGAAGUGUCUGUUAGGACGGCCGUACGCAUAGGCCUUGUCAGAAUUCCUUCCCGGGGGAGAGGUAAACAAUGUCUACCCCAUUCUUAUAGGAUCCUAACAACAAAGUGGAGUUUCACCCUUCGACCUGGGGAACAAUGAGUUUAGAGAGCUUACUUAGAGCACUUGAGCAAGGAGUUACAGGAGCCCUGGGACCUAAGGCAGACAAGCUGGAGAGUUCACCCAGCAUGAAUGGAGCUCUCUCUUCAGCUAACUUCCCCAGUCUAUAAGCACUGGGAGGACAAGAACUCCUCACCCCACUCCCAUCCAUAUGUGAUGAAGAACAAGUCACUUACAAAUGACUGGGUGGGGUGCCUGGAGCCCACAGCUACAUUUACAUACACAUACCUCACAGCCCCAUCCCUCCUAGCAAUCCUGACCCUGCUUUAGGGGCUGCAGGAGCUGCCCUUUGGUCUUAAAGCUCAGCUCACAUUCCUGUAGUCUGUUCUCAGAGGAAAGAACAAGACCGUCUGUGCACAUGCCUAUAAUCCCAGCACUUGGGAACAGGGGCAGAAGAUCCAUCUAAAUAGUCCUGGCCAGCCAGGGCUAGAGUUGAAGGAACACUAGCCCACAGGGGCAUGUGGCUCUGGCAGGUCUUGCAUUUCAUUCC